AAGUCGUAACAAGGUUUCCGUAGGUGAACCUGCGGAAGGAUCAUUAACACGUAUCCAAACGUAAAAAACCCCCCCCGUGAACAUUCAAUCCUGCUCUUGUAACCCGCGUAGUUCGCAAUCUCUGGUAAAUCAUAGCCCGGAAAGUAGUUUGAUUCAGAGACCUCUGGCUACGUGAGAACAUUGGAACAGUUACAAUCGAGCGGUAGUUUCAUCGCUUCAACGAUUCCUGUCGACCGUACACUCGGGCAGGAGCUAUGCCAAAGGGUCCCCAUGCCCCCUUAUAACCCCACAGUUUAAUGUGAAGCUCAAUGUAAUACAUUGGGUAAAAAAACCGAACAACUGUUAACAAUGGAUAUCUUGGUUCUC
rnacentral:misc_RNA from 1 species